rnacentral:rRNA from 1 species
GGGGAAUUUUCCGCAAUGGGCGAAAGCCUGACGGAGCAAUACCGCGUGAGGGAUGACGGCCUGUGGGUUGUAAACCUCUUUUCUCAAGGAAGAAGUUCUGACGGUACUUGAGGAAUAAGCAUCGGCUAACUCUGUGCCAGCAGCCGCGGUAAUACAGAGGAUGCAAGCGUUAUCCGGAAUCACUGGGCAUAAAGCGUCUGUAGGUGGUUUGGUAAGUCUGCUGUUAAAGACUGGGGCUCAACCCCAGAAAAGCAGUGGAAACUGCCAGACUUGAGUGUGGUAGAGGUAGAGGGAAUUCCUAGUGUAGCGGUGAAAUGCGUAGAUAUUAGGAAGAACACCAAUGGCGAAGGCACUCUACUGGGCCAUAACUGACACUGAGAGACGACAGCUAGGGGAGCAAAAGGGAUUAGAUACCCCAGUAGUC